rnacentral:lncRNA from 1 species
GACGGUUGCGAUGAGGCUGCUCCUGGGUCUCGCGGCUAUCCAAGACCAUCGAGGGUCCCCGGCGGCGCCUGCCGUCUGCUGAGGCUGGGUUAAGGCUUCUGGCAGAUUCGGGUCAGUCCCAAGUGCGACCGGUCUUCUGGGGCUGCCGUCCGCAGACCCUUCUCGCAUCCACGUACCUGGCGGCCUCCCUCAUCGCGUGCUGUUGGUAGGGGGGCGAGUCAGGCCCUGUACACGUCCUGACAGGCACCCGGCCCACCCCCAGCCAACUGUGCGCUGUGUUCCUGCCCCAGCACGAGACCUGUGGGGUGUCCGCGGCAGAAGAUGUCAGAGCUGGAAGAGACCUGAGAGGCGAUCCCCUUGGUGGGUGAUGGUUCUUCCGGGAAUCUGGUGGUUUGCGCGCCUUGUCGUCUGCUUCCAGAACAAGGAUCUUCGCUGUACGCCAAGACCCAGACCCCUCUGACAUCGGAAUGACAAGUGGGAUAUUUAAUAAAACAGUUUCAAAUUUGGAGUCA